rnacentral:rRNA from 1 species
GACGAACGCUGGCGGCGUGCUUAACACAUGCAAGUCGAACGGAAAGGCCUUUUCGUAGGUACUCGAGUGGCGAACGGGUGCGUAACACGUGGGUGAUCUGCCCUGCACUCUGGGAUAAGCCUGGGAAACUGGGUCUAAUACCGGAUAGGACCGCACUUUAGUGUGUGUGGUGGAAAGUUUUUUCGGUGUAGGAUGAGCCCGCGGCCUAUCAGCUUGUUGGUGGGGUAAUGGCCUACCAAGGCGGCGACGGGUAGCCGGACUGAGAGGUUGGUCGGCCACAUUGGGACUGAGAUACGGCCCAGACUCCUACGGGAGGCAGCAGUGGGGAAUAUUGCACAAUGGGCGCAAGCCUGAUGCAGCGACGCCGCGUGGGGGAUGACGGCCUUCGGGUUGUAAACUCCUUUCGCCAGGGACGAAGCGUUUUGUGACGGUACCUGGAGAAGAAGCACCGGCUAACUACGUG